UUUUUGCCACCUUUCUUGGAGGACUAGGAUAUCACCAUGACAGUAUUGUCUGGCUUCCUCUUGCGAUUUUGACCACCCGAGUAGUUGCCUCGCUUGUCGUUGGAGCGAUUCUUGUAGUUCUCAUCGUUGCGUUGGCCGUUAUUCUGGUUGUUGUUGUUCUGACCUCUAUUGCGACUAGACUCGAACCGCUCGAUCUCUUUGUCUUCUUCGUCAGCCCAGGCUUGUAU
rnacentral:lncRNA from 1 species